rnacentral:rRNA from 2 species
CGGCGUGCCUAAUACAUGCAAGUCGAACGCACUGACGUCGACCGAGCUGCUUGCAGUGGACGUUGAUUGACGUGAGUGGCGGACGGGUGAGUAACACGUGGGUAACCUACCCUUAAGUGGGGGAUAACAUUUGGAAACAGAUGCUAAUACCGCAUAACCAUUCAGACCACAUGGUCUGAAUGUAAAAGACGGCCUUUGGCUGUCACUUUUGGACGGACCCGCGGCGUAUUAGUUAGUUGGUAAGGUAACGGCUUACCAAGACAAUGAUACGUAGCCGACCUGAGAGGGUGAUCGGCCACAUUGGGACUGAGACACGGCCCAAACUCCUACGGGAGGCAGCAGUAGGGAAUCUUCCACAAUGGACGGAAGUCUGAUGGAGCAACGCCGCGUGAGUGAAGAAGGUUUUAGGAUCGUAAAACUCUGUUGUUGGAGAAGAACAGGGACUAGAGUAACUGUUAGUCCUUUGACGGUAUCCAACCAGAAAGCCACGGCUAACUACGUGCCAGCAGCCGCGGUAAUACGUAGGUGGCAAGCGUUGUCCGGAUUUAUUGGGCGUAAAGCGAGCGCAGGCGGUUUUUUAAGUCUGAUGUGAAAGCCUUCGGCUUAACCGAAGAAGUGCAUUAGAAACUGGGAAACUUGAGUGCAGAAGAGGACAGUGGAACUCCAUGUGUAGCGGUGAAAUGCGUAGAUAUAUGGAAGAACACCAGUGGCGAAGGCGGCUGUCUGGUCUGUAACUGACGCUGAGGCUCGAAAGUAUGGGGAGCGAACAGGAUUAGAUACCCUGGUAGUCCAUACCGUAAACGAUGAAUGCUAAGUGUUGGAGGGUUUCGCCCUUCAGUGCUGCAGCUAACGCAUUAAGCAUUCCGCCUGGGGAGUACGACCGCAAGGUUGAAACUCAAAGGAAUUGACGGGGGCCCCGCACAAGCCGUGGAACACAUGUUG